GGCGUUGAGAAGGGUUUCUGCACUUAUGGAGGAAUACGUUGAUAAAGGAAGUGUUCAGCAUCCUGAGGGAGGAAGUCUAUUGAAGAUCAUUUGAUGUGAUGUCGCCACAUCUCCAAGUCCCUCUCUUCACUGCAGGGAGCGUAAAGCUGACAGUUGCCAGUCCAGUUGUGUCCCAUGGUGGGGUUAAUGCUAAUCGUGAUAGGGGUUGUUCUCUAAUAGACACCUACCAUGUUAGCAUUAUCCCUGCUCUGGGGUCAGUCUGCUACAGCUAGCACUGCUUUCUGGGAAGGAAAUGUAACUAAGCAAAGUGUAACACACACACAGGUACAUGCAUGUGAAUGCACACGCACUUAAGAAAUGCACUUGUGCACUCUCCAUCACACACAGACGCACAUGUGCACACAAACAUUUUCUCUGUUUGCUCUCUCUCUGUUUUGCUCUCUCUCUCUGUCUGUUUCUCUCUCUCACUCACUCUCUUUUCUUGUCACUUCCCCUAUAGCCAUUGGUUUCUGAGCCAGUUAUCCACAACCAUGACAUAUUGUGUGGUGUUAAUGCUGUCCAUGACUGGGGUGACUGAAGUACAAACUCCAACGUAGCAGCAUUCACACCAAUACCUCUCUCUCCAGUCAGCAGGAUUAUAUCUGCUCUUUCUUUUGUUUGAGAGCUGUCACUGCAAAAAUAACUGAUCCAUUUCAACAUGUUACAUUUAUUUCUGUCUUUGUUUGUCGUUUUUUCUUAUAUUUUUAUUUUCAACCAUAAAUUUACGAGCAAAUGGAAUAAUAACACAAGUAAAACAUGAGAUAACAUAUGUUUCUGUAUUGAACGCAAACAAGUCUUUCUGGUGUUUUCUGUUUGAUUGCAUGAUGAAAUUGUUCAAAAUAGUCUGGAUUAGCCUACUGUAAAGCGUCUCAAUAAAGCUGAUUAAUCGAAA